rnacentral:rRNA from 1 species
CCUACGGAGGGCAGCAGUGGGGAAUAUUGGACAAUGGGGGGAACCCUGAUCCAGCCAUGCCGCGUGUGUGAAGAAGGCCCUCGGGUUGUAAAGCACUUUCAGUGAGGAAGAACGCCUGGUGGUUAAUACCCAUCAGGAAAGACAUCACUCACAGAAGAAGCACCGGCUAACUCCGUGCCAGCAGCCGCGGUAAUACGGAGGGUGCGAGCGUUAAUCGGAAUUACUGGGCGUAAAGCGCGCGUAGGUGGCUUGAUAAGCCGGUUGUGAAAGCCCCGGGCUCAACCUGGGAACGGCAUCCGGAACUGUCAAGCUAGAGUGCAGGAGAGGAAGGUAGAAUUCCCGGUGUAGCGGUGAAAUGCGUAGAGAUCGGGAGGAAUACCAGUGGCGAAGGCGGCCUUCUGGACUGACACUGACACUGAGGUGCGAAAGCGUGGGUAGCAAACAGGAUUAGAUACCCUGGUAGUC